rnacentral:rRNA from 1 species
AAUAGAUACCCUGGUAGUCCACGCCGUAAACGAUGAGUGCUAAGUGUUAGGGGGUUUCCGCCCUUAGUGCUGCAGCUAACGCAUUAAGCACUCCGCCUGGGGAGUACGGUCGCAAGACUGAAACUCAAAGGAAUUGACGGGGGCCCGCACAAGCGGUGGAGCAUGUGGUUUAAUUCGAAGCAACGCGAAGAACCUUACCAGGUCUUGACAUCCCAUUGACCACUAUGGAGACAUAGUUUUCCCUUCGGGGACAACGGUGACAGGUGGUGCAUGGUUGUCGUCAGCUCGUGUCGUGAGAUGUUGGGUUAAGUCCCGCAACGAGCGCAACCCUUGUUCUUAGUUGCCAUCAUUUAGUUGGGCACUCUAAGGAGACUGCCGGUGACAAACCGGAGGAAGGUGGGGAUGACGUCAAAUCAUCAUGCCCCUUAUGACCUGGGCUACACACGUGCUACAAUGGACGGUACAAACGGUUGCCAACCCGCGAGGGGGAGCUAAUCCGAUAAAACCGUUCUCAGUUCGGAUUGUAGGCUGCAACUCGCCUACA